AAAAGCGCGAUGACGAGGAAGAGUAGCGCCCCCAGUGUGUCUGUAAAGAGAGCCGCCGUUUGGUGAAAGGCGGACGGGCCGGGAGCGUGAAGAUCACCCUUUGAGCGUUCCGGUCGGACGCCGUUAUACGCCCAUCUUAAGUGGCUGCGUAUUUUUUAUGCGGCAAAAAGAGUGGUACCGCAGAGGUGUUUCGCCCCUGUCUCUUAA
rnacentral:ncRNA from 1 species